CGGCUGGAUGCAAGGAUUUAUUUUGCUCUCUCACUGCAGACCUCUGUUAGCCACUCAGAGAUAGAAGUGACCAGAUAAUCGGUUUCGUCUUCUGUGCUACCAAGGCAGAAAAUACCAAGCUGGAAUUUUGGACUCCACUCACACGGAGGCCACCCUGUCUCUGCAAUAACAACCUUCAUCUCCUCAUGAGGACAGAGUCCCCACAACCCAGUGGCUUCCUGAAGUUCCCUGCUCACCACACUGGCAAGUGGAAUUCCGUUUCAGCCCCCGAACUCAGCGGCAUCUCGUGUUUUCUUUCAAGAAACUCUGUGUGAGGCGGGACAGUGUAAACAGGAUCUUCUCAGGGAAUCGCCUGCCCAGCAGACAUAUUUUCUGGCUAUGAAAACAAAUUGGAAAAAAAAAACUAAAUAAAUAUAAGUCUUUGAAUUGUUGCGUUUUUGAUAGAGUAAAGAGCCAAAACAUUUAUUUAAUAACCCACCCCACUGAAGGAACCACAGGAUGCCAAAGGAACAUAGGCUUGGGGCUGUCUGAAGAAAGCAAGCCCUGACCCCAAAUUCUUCUUCCUAAUACGCAAAUGAACUCACCAACAACUUUUUGCUGCUUCUCAACGCCUGAGAUUUCCCAGCAUGCCUUGCCACAGGAGAAGCCACCACUGGAUCUCAGUCCUCUGAUU
rnacentral:lncRNA from 1 species